UACGUAGGGGGCAAGCGUUGUCCGGAAUCAUUGGGCGUAAAGAGCGUGUAGGCGGCCCGAUAAGUCCGCCGUGAAAGUCCAGGGCUCAACCCUGGAAUGCCGGUGGAAACUGUCGGGCUGGAGUCCGGAAGAGGCGAGUGGAAUUCCUGGUGUAGCGGUGAAAUGCGCAGAUAUCAGGAGGAACACCAAUGGCGAAGGCAGCUUGCUGGGACGGUACUGACGCUGAGGCGCGAAAGCGUGGGGAGCAAACAGG
rnacentral:rRNA from 1 species